GAUGAACGCUGGCGGCGUGCCUAAUACAUGCAAGUCGAGCGAACGGACGAGAAGCUUGCUUUUCUGAUGUUAGCGGCGGACGGGUGAGUAACACGUGGAUAACCUACCUAUAAGACUGGGAUAACUUCGGGAAACCGGAGCUAAUACCGGAUAAUAUUUUGAACCGCAUGGUUCAGAAGUGAAAGACGGUCUUGCUGUCACUUAUAGAUGGAUCCGCGCUGCAUUAGCUAGUUGGUAAGGUAACGGCUUACCAAGGCAACGAUGCAUAGCCGACCUGAGAGGGUGAUCGGCCACACUGGAACUGAGACACGGUCCAGACUCCUACGGGAGGCAGCAGUAGGGAAUCUUCCGCAAAGGGCGAAAGCCUGACGGAGCAACGCCGCGUGAGUGAUGAAGGUCUUCGGAUCGUAAAACUCUGUUAUUAGGGAAGAACAUAUGUGUAAGUAACUGUGCACAUCUUGACGGUACCUAAUCAGAAAGCCACGGCUAACUACGUG
rnacentral:rRNA from 1 species